rnacentral:lncRNA from 1 species
GCGGCCGUUAGGUCUCCUCAGUGUGCUCAUCUGCAGGGACAAAACCACUCACAGGUAGUCUCCGUUGAGCGAGGAAGGUGGCACUACAGUGCAGAUCACAGUGAAGGCCUCCAAGAAGAGCAGAAUGACACUCCAGGGCGCUGCGCAGAGCACUGCUGCAGCCUGGGCUGACACACGGCUCUGCAUCCUCCUGUUCCACUUCUGUGCUUUUGGCACUCAAUUCACCGAAACUGACCACGCCUGACGUACAGAGGGGUGCUCCGAACACCGGUGUGUAUUGCUUUUAUUUACUGGUACAUCAGUAGGAAUAGAGGGCAUGGUGGGGAUGGGCUGCCG